CAAUUUGAAUUUGCAAAGUGCAAAGGAAAGACUGUGAACCUGGCGUUCAAACGGAUAAGAAACCGUAUUGAGGUAUGCAUGAAGUCGUGCAGUGAUUUUGUGAAAAUUUAUGUAUGAUUUAAUGCACCAGCGCUUGCACUGUCGUGGAAGUGCGUACGGACCUUUGCAAUCUAAAGCACCGUCCACUGGAAUUUAUGUUACCAGGCAGGUCAGCAUGAAAAUUUCAUCACCAGCACUGACGAUGUGGAGGGUGAAUGGACAGAGUUCGAGCGUCAUAUGGUACACUUUAGACAGGUGGUAUAGCAGAAGUGGUAGAAAAUAGCACUGAAUGCAGAUCCUUUUCGGCUUCAUGGAUUGGUUCAUUAUGUGAUGUGCGAACACUGAAUUCUAAAUCUGGAGCUUUUUCACAUGAGUUAGGGUUGAGAACUGGCAGUGGUCUUUACUGUGUCUCAUGGUACAACACGCAUUUCUGGAACUGGCGCGGCUUGCAGUCAUGAGAAGCUCUUGCCCUCAGUAUUAGCAGAAGGCGAAGAUGUGCUGCAGGAAGCUCUACACUGCACAAUGCACGCUGGCAAGUCACUGCCCAUUGCAACUAUUGUCGUGGCCAUUCACACUUCCACUUUGAAGAAUGGGUGUAUUGAAGCAGGUAAAAAUAUUAAGAAGUCUGCCUAAAAGUAUCAGACUUUUGAUUUGAGCAAAGAUACUGCUUCAGUUUUGUCAAAAGCUUGGUGAUUCUCAAAGCGAAACAAUUUGUAAGAUUCAGCAGGUAUUCGGAGAAGAUGCGAUGGAUGUAAAACAAAUUAAGGAGUGGUUCGACCAAUUCAAAAAUGGCUUCACAUCAGUGGAGAGUGACCAUUGUUCAGACAGGCCCCAAAAUGCUUGGAGUGCAGCUGUUGAAAGGGUGCAAAAUUUGAUGAGGGCACAUAAUCAUUUGACCGUGUGGGAGAUUGCCCGAGAGGCUGGAGUGAGUAAAGAUUCUGCACAUGCAAUUUUGGAUGAUUUGAAUAUGCACAGAGUAGCUGCGAAAUUCAUGUCCAAGUUGUUGUCGCCUGAACAAAAGACCUCCUUUUUGACGUUGCGCAAUAUCUUCUGGACACCACCUACACUGAUCCUGGCUGUCUGAACACUGUGAUAACUGGAGAUGAGUUAUGGGUGUACGGGUAUGACCCAGAAACAAGACAAUCAUCACAAUGGAAGCAUCCUGAGUCUCCAAGGCUGAAGAAAGUGUGGCAGGUGCAAAGCAAAAUCAAGGUGAUGCACAAUUCCACAGACUUCGAAGAAGACAGUCAGCAUUACGAAUACACACCGGAAGGACAAACAGUGACAAAGGAGUACUAUCAAUGUUUUCCAGUGACUCCAUGGCGCAUUCAGCGCAAAAGUCCAACAUGGACUGUGAAAAACUGGCAACUGUAUCACAAUACCCCCGCACAUUCAUCCUAUUUGAUCCAAAAUUUCUCUGCCAAAUGUGGAAUUAAAGCCAGUUCGCCAACCUCCCCACUCUCCAGACAUGGCUCCUUGUGACUUCUGGUUGUUUCCAAAAUUGAAGACACCACUGAAAGGAUCCCAUUUGAGAGUAAAGAAGAGAUAAUGUGGAACAAGACGACGGAGCUGAACACCAUUCCAAAAGACUUCCAGAGGUGUUUCUGGCAGUGAAAGGAUCGAUGGCAAAGUGUGUGCAAGCACAAGGGGCCUACUUUGAAGGGGAUUAGGGUCCCAACCCCGUCAGGUGUUAGAAAUAUUUUUUCUGGCCGAAGGUCAGAUACUUUUUAGACGGGCCUUGUAGUUAUUGAGGUGUUUGCAGACUAUUUACAAUGUGAAACUGUCAGGUUUCAUUGAUGGAAAUGCUGAUAUUAAUUAGAGAUGAUAAAUGAAAGGAAUGUGGAUUCAGGUCCCUCCUUUCAUGUCCCAUUAUGGAACAGGUCCAGCAAUGUUCAUAGGAGAUGCAGAAGUAUGUGAUGGUUUUAAUAUAAAUUACUUUCCUUUGAACCAGCAAAAAAUAUUUGUUUCAGUUAAAAUGCCUUUUGCAUGCUGAAAAUUAAUGAAUUUAAUUACCCAAGUGCAUCUUGCUUGUGUUAACAAGCCAUUGUUGCUGU